UACGUAGGGGGGCAAGCGUUGUCCGGAAUCAUUGGGCGUAAAGAGCGUGUAGGCGGCUCGGUAAGUCCGCUCUGAAAAGCCCGGGGGCUCAACCCCCGGGGAGGCGGGCGGAUACUGUCGGGCUAGAGUCCGGAAGAGGCGAGUGGAAUUCCUGGUGUAGCGGUGAAAUGCGCAGAUAUCAGGAGGAACGCCAAUGGCGAAGGCAGCUCGCUGGGACGGUACUGACGCUGAGACGCGAAAGCGUGGGGGAGCAAACAGG
rnacentral:rRNA from 1 species